rnacentral:rRNA from 1 species
CGAGGGGCAGCAUGGUCUUAGCUUGCUAAGGCCGAUGGCGACCGGCGCACGGGUGAGUAACACGUAUCCAACCUGCCGUCUACUCUUGGACAGCCUUCUGAAAGGAAGAUUAAUACAAGAUGGCAUCAUGAGUCCGCAUGUUCACAUGAUUAAAGGUAUUCCGGUAGACGAUGGGGAUGCGUUCCAUUAGAUAGUAGGCGGGGUAACGGCCCACCUAGUCUUCGAUGGAUAGGGGUUCUGAGAGGAAGGUCCCCCACAUUGGAACUGAGACACGGUCCAAACUCCUACGGGAGGCAGCAGUGAGGAAUAUUGGUCAAUGGGCGCAGGCCUGAACCAGCCAAGUAGCGUGAAGGAUGACUGCCCUAUGGGUUGUAAACUUCUUUUAUAAAGGAAUAAAGUCGGGUAUGUAUACCCGUUUGCAUGUACUUUAUGAAUAAGGAUCGGCUAACUCCGUGCCAGCAGCCGCGGUAAUACAGAGGAUCCGAGCGUUAUCCGGAUUUAUUGGGUUUAAAGGGAGCGUAGAUGGAUGUUUAAGUCAGUUGUGAAAGUUUGCGGCUCAACCGUAAAAUUGCAGUUGAUACUGGAUAUCUUGAGUGCAGUUGAGGCAGGCGGAAUUCGUGGUGUAGCGGUGAAAUGCUUAGAUAUCACGAAGAACUCCGAUUGCGAAGGCAGCCUGCUAAGCUGCA